GAUGAACGCUAGCUACAGGCUUAACACAUGCAAGUCGAGGGGCAGCAUGAACAUAGCUUGCUAUGUUUGAUGGCGACCGGCGCACGGGUGCGUAACACGUAUCCAAUCUACCCAUGGCUCGGGGAUAGCCUUUCGAAAGAAAGAUUAAUACCCGAUGGUCUCGGUUUAAGGCAUCUUAGACUGAGUAAGGAUUUAUCGGCGAUGGAUGAGGAUGCGUCUGAUUAGGUAGAUGGCGGGGUAACGGCCCACCAUGCCUACGAUCAGUAGGGGUUCUGAGAGGAAGGUCCCCCACAGUGGAAAUGAGACACGGUCCAAACUCCUACGGGAGGCAGCAGUGAGGAAUAUUAGUCAAUGGACGAGAGUCUAAACCAGCCAAGUAGCGUGAAGGAUGACUGCCCUAUGGGUUGUAAACUUCUUUUGUUUGGGAAUAAAGUUCGGGACGUGUCCCGUUUUGUAUGUACCAUUCGAAUAAGCAUCGGCUAAUUCCGUGCCAGCAGCCGCAGUAAGAC
rnacentral:rRNA from 1 species